rnacentral:lncRNA from 1 species
AUGGAGCCUAGCAGAUAGAGUCAUAGGUUUUCACUGCUGCCAAGACAGAAAGCUUGGAACUACAGUGAAAAAGAGGAUUCUCACAAUAUUUUCCAGGCAGCUACCAGGAAGGAAUGGAAAGCCUCUGGGAAAGGUUGUAUUUACAGAAAUUCAGAUGAAGGUAUAUAGAAAGCAGCUUUGAAAUUCCACUUUCUGAGCAUAAUUUGCCAACUUUUGGAGGAUCAAGCAACAUACGUGAGAAUAACAAUACAGAAGAAAGAGAAUUCACAGAGAUAAAACAGCACAGAUGCUGAAUAGAGAACAACAGAGCAUGGUAGGAAGAGAGUAAUAUAAUAUAAUUUAAUAUAAGGAGUGAUAAAAUAUAAUUACUCCAGUUUGAACUUUAUACAUCUCAACACUGUGUGUACAUAUUCCAACCUCUUCUUUAUGGUCCUUUGCUUUCACUUACUGUUGUUUUUCUAAAGGAGGUAUAAAGGAUGAAAUAACUGCAUUCAACAAUAUAAACGUGGCCAUAAGAGAAGUUAUCUGAAAUCAGAAAUUACACUGUUUGGUCACUAAACCGUCUAAAAUAACAGAAGACAUGAUCUGAAUUUUGAACUGAACUUCUUUUGGAAGAUAACAAAUAGAAAAAGAAGAAAUUGGGAAACUAAAACUGGAUGACCUGAAUAGUAGAGGGAAAAUGUAAGAAAAAUAUAUGAUGUGUGUUUGAGAAUACCCAGAAUAUUCUCUGUUAAACUGCUGUCAAAUUUUAAAUUUAGAAAGAGAAGGAAUUUCCUUGGAUGAAUACUUAAAAAUAGAGCUACAUAUCACAGACUUAAUAUGUCUGUCAGGCUUCUGAUUAAGAGCUAUGACAGUGCCUUCCUUCCAAAGAUAACCUGAGCCAAAGAAAUGUAACUUUUUCUUUAGAAGCCAAGGAGAAAGUAAAUGAGUAUUUCAUAGCCUUGCAAACAUAAAUCCUCAGAUACCAGGAUCAAAUGAUUUGACUCCUAAUUGAGCAAAUCUCCCAUGUACUUGCCUUGUGAUCCAUCAUGAACCCAACACAUGAGCAAUCACCACUUGAUGAUGUGAAAUCUGUUUCUGGACAACUUUGAACUCUGUAGGGGAAUGGUACAGAUACAUCAACAUUCCUCCCAAAGAGAUAUUUUGGACAAACUCCAGCUUGGCAGAUUUUACACAACACU